AAUAGACUAAAUCUGUACAUUUAUUUCUCGAAUUUGAGUACAUGCAGCAUAUUCUGCGUCUUAAAUUUCGGCAAUUACAAUUCUUCUCAGUUCCCUUCCUUCCCUUUUUUGGGUGGUUGCUCUCUAUGGUUUAUAAACCAUGCGUUAAUCCCCAAAGCGGAUUUUUCAUGCAUCUUGCUGCCUGUUUCAAAGAAUUGCUGUACAUACAAGUAAGAAUUUGGUAGCUGUGUAACAUUGAAGCAGUAAUAGCAAGUAGGCUUUAGUUAUAAUUUGGGGCAUACAUUAAUGAAUUUCAAACGGCAUACAACCAGAAACCAAAUAGUGCUAUCGGCACCUCAAAUCCACUCCUACUCAACAGGAAUCUGCAUCUCAAUAGCUAUGCCAAACUAAAAUUGUCACCAAAUCAUGCUAACACUCUUGCAAGCUCUCAGUAUUUCGUGGGAUGAAAUUGAAAGAUAACCAAACUUUCUUGACUAAUAACAGCAUGGCUUCCCAUUUUUAACUAACAACUGAAAAUUUUCAAUCUUAUAAAUUUCUUCAACCCCUGGCCAACAUCACAUCCAAGUGAUUCAAAUCAACAUUGGAUGAAGAUCCUUCAACCCGAGGAGCUUUCCUGAUAUUUCUAUUGUUGUAGAUAAGUUCUUGUUUAUAUGGAUGCUCCUUGCAGGCUACAUGAUGCAGAUGGAGCAACGCAAUCAUGCUAACUGCAAAUAACGCAGCGUUGCCCAGCAACCCACCCAUAUGAUCCAAUUUAAGGGAUUUCCUCACAAAAUCAAAACUUGAAAUAAGAACUUUGAUUGCCAUUUUAGAUCCCUUCUCUUUGCGCCUAACAAGAUUCUCACCAGAUGGACACUGAGAUGAACCAUAAAGGUUUUCAGGAGAAACAAAGCGACUUGCAUCAUGUACAUGACCAACGAAAUCUAGAGCUUCUUCAAUGACUUUGUACUUCUUACCAUGGUGUUCAGCCAAUCUCAUUGCAAGAACAAUCCUGCUUUGUUCUAAUCGAGCAAUUGCAGCAUCUCUCUCAGCCCGCUGUUGUAUUUGUACAGUAUGGAAGAACUCCAACUGAUCCUCAAGGUUCUCGAGAGCAGUCCUGAUAGCGUUGAGACUCUUGGCCUCUUGAAUCGCGGAUUCAUUAUCAUCAACACGAAACUCCUUGACGAAGACAAAGCCAGCCCGGUUCUCUUCAACGACGUCGUUGUAGAGUUUCUUCUUAUCAGACUUCCUUAGGUUUCCGACAGAGUUGAGGAAGUGGGUGCGGGAAAUUGAGUGAAUGGCGUCGCUCAAUUUGUCGUGUAGGUCCCAGAUUUUCUCCAGAACAGCUUCUAUUUCUUCAAUCUCCAUAUCCCAAUUCAUGUGUGAAAGCCAAUGAAUUUUGUGCAAGGAAAGUUUAGUUUGAGCUGCAGUGAGCUUUUUGAGGAAGAAAGACAUCUGUCAG
rnacentral:misc_RNA from 1 species